CGGUGACGUGGAGCAAACCUCNGAAAGCCAAUCUCAGUUCGGAUUGUAGGCUGCAACUCGCCUACAUGAAGUUGGAAUCGCUAGUAAUCGCGAAUCAGAAUGUCGCGGUGAAUACGUUCCCGGGUCAUGUACACACCGCCCGUCACACCACGAGAGUUUACAACACCCGAAGUCAGUGGCCUAACCGCAAGGAGGGAGCUGCCUAAGGUGGGGUAGAUGAUUGGGGUGAAGUCGUAACAAGGUAGC
rnacentral:rRNA from 1 species